UAAGCCUCGCGCAUGCCCAGAGCGGAGAGCUCAGCCCGGCUCCACCUUCCUCCUCCUCCCCUCCACAGGCCUCCGGGACGGAGUUGUGAGACGAUCCCUAGGGAGGCCAUCGAGCCAGGCGUCUGACUGGAGGUAUCCCAGGGCAGCCGGCCACCGCCGACGAGAGGCGGCCCUGGCCCAGAGCCAGCGGUCUGCGCAGGUAGCUACUCUGCAUCUCCAAUCUGCCGGCUGGGCCCACGGCUGGACCCAGGGCCACGAGCACCCUCUGCACUUUCUCCUCUCGGAACUUUGGCUCGAGCCGUGCCCCCUUCUUGGAGGAACCCCCCUACCCCACCCUACUGCUUCCUCUCUGCUUACUUCCAGACUUAGAUGCAGGCUCCAGCCCUCACAGGGCGUCGUCCAGCAGGAAACAGCCAGAUCCAGCACAGGGCCGGCAGAGCCUCCCCUCCAACCCUCCCAGAAACUUUGUCCGGAACUUGUUUUGAAAAUAUUAGCAAACAGAAAGCAGCUUCACGUUGGCCAAAGCCCCCAUCACGACUGAGUGAGGGCAGGGGCUGAUAAUAGGAAGAUCCCAAUUCGAAGGAUCUUUCCCCUCCCAGGGUGGGCGUUUGACCACCUUGCCCCCUGAAUACAGCACAGGCUGAGCAGGGCAAUUCCUGCUGUGUCACCUCUCCUCUGUGCCUCAGUCUCACCCUUCUAACUUACCCCAAGGGAUGCAGUUGGAGCACGUGCCAAGCUGUCUGGGACUUAAGAGAUCAGUUCUAGGGGGACGUUGGAGGCACACACCUAAUGGUCCUGAGCUUGUCACCAUCACCUAAUUGGCCACCAUCCAUUGAAGCCUCAGUUUCCUCAUCUGAAAAGUCUGUAGUUUCAAGCUCAAAUGAAGACAUCCUGGCCCUCUUGCUGUUUCUCACACACAACAUUCCAUAUUCUUCCCUCUGUGACUUGGCAUGGCACUAAGUCCACGUCUGGAAUGUGCCUUCUUCCCACCUCCAACUCUCCAAACGAGAAUCGACUUUCCUCCAGAACGUUAGAGGAAAUGGAGAUGCCCAGUUAUACCCAGGCACGGCCCACAGUUCUCCAUUGCCACAAGGACACAGAUGUGCAUGGCUCUUUGGCUUUUUUUAUGGUUUUUACACAGUAGAGGAACAGGAACACAUCAGCCAAGCUGUGAUUAGAUCCUAGUGUGUACUGCCUCUCCCAAGAGCGGGGAGUUUGAUAGAAAACAUUCCAAGGACACAAAACUCAAAGGUUAUACUGAGAGUCACCACAUGAAGUCACAUUGCUCAUCUCUGUUGUUGCUCAGUCAUGUCUGACUCUUUGCAACCCCAUUUGAGUUUUUUUUUUUGGCAAAAAUAUUGGGGAAACUGAGGCUGAGAGAAUUCCAGUGACUUUCUCAGGAUCACAGAGCUAGGUAGCAUUCAAACCCAGAUGUUCUUAAUUCCAAGUGCAGCACUCUGUCAACUGUGCCACCUAACUAGGAAGAUGAUGUGAGAUGAGGACGAGAAGGCAGGAUUUGUUCCUCCCUCAAACAACAAGGGCUUUGAGUGAGAAAAAGAAUGGGGCAGGAGACCCCUGAUACAUGGACACUGAUCAGCAAGUAUAAGUGCCAUUUGCUGUUUCCUUCUACUCCAAGCCUCUGCAGGAGACCAGCAGACAGGAGCUGGUCUUCUUGGGAGCCGAUCUCUGGUACAACGGGGGAAACUUCUGGGACUAAAACGGUGAUUGAGCAAUUGAGGAUUGUCAUUCCUAUUCAGGACACUUCAUGGGCGCCAGGAGAUCCCUUAUUCGGUCUAAGCCCAAGUCACUUUGGGACUUCCCUUAAGAUGAGCAUCAGAGAUGGAACUGGACCCCAGGACUCCUGAUUUCUACCCCCAGCUGGCUCCUUGACUCGGCCUGCUUCUCCAGAGCAUCCGGGAGCCCGGGAGAAUGUCUUCCAUUUGUAUAGGCCUUGGCCCUUCUCAUCUAUGAUCAGAAAGCCUGAGUAGAAAGGACCCUUUUAAGGCAAGGCAGCUCUUCCACUGGAGACAUGAAAAACGGAGGCCCAGGUUCACAUCGUGGAAUAGCAAGUGGCAGAGCCCAGAACUUCUACUGCCAAGUCCACCGUUGACUCUAGACACCACGGUGCCAGAGAGGCAAGUGCCAGAAGACUCCUGCACCCAGGGGCAGGCAGGCAGACACAGGUCACCUCAGUGAACUCUGUGCCUUGUGAUGGUAGAACAGAAAAGGAGAAAGAAGAGGCCAAGAGAGAAGAAGGGCAGGCCAAAGGGUUCCACUUCCUGGAAGUGGCUCCCUUCUCAGCCCCUCUCUCCUCCUCCAUAAGCCAGUCAGCUCUAUCUCCAGAUCUUUUAAAAGCACUGACCAGAUGCCAGACACUGGGGAGGGGGAGACAGCCUGGAACCAGGCCCUGCCCUCCAGGAGCCUUCAUUGUAUUGGGGCAUAGGGAAGCUGCUUUGGCUAAAGGAGAGAGUGUUGGGAGAGUCCUCUGGAAAGGCAGGCUAGAAGGUAAAUAUGAAGGGAGAAAUGUGGAUGUGAUCCUGAAGGCUUAGAUAAGGGCCCCUGAAGAGUGGUUGCCACUUGGAGAAGGCCCUUUGCCUCCAGGGAGCUCCCUAGACCAGAGGUGGCAUUCGGAACUCUCCAGACCGGCCUCAGAGCUGAGAAAUUUCUCUACUUCUGGUCACUGUGAAAAGGCUCAUCUUCUUGGGAGGAACAGGAUCCUGCCUUCUUCCCUGUCUCCCUGCACUCUGCCUCCCCAGGCUGGCCCUGCAGGGGCCCGGGCCUUGGCACCGCCAGCAUUUUCUCCUCUGAAUGCCUCCAGGGAUGCCAGCAUGAGGCCAGGUCCCCAGACAGCUGUGCGGAGCCCACAGGCCAACCCUCCUGGACCUUGCUCUUGCUGUUGCUGACUCUGCAGGUAUAACUGCUGAGGUGGUGCAGUGUCCCUGAAAAUGGGGAGCAGAGCUCCCUAUCUCUCAAUGUUCCCUACAGCUCAGGCCAAUGACCCCCUUUUCCUAUCUUCCUCAGUAGGGCUGGCCCUUGGUGGAAUUCAGCAGAGGUGCUCUUGCUGUGGCCCACCCCAACACACACACACACACACACACACACACACUGUUCAGGUUCGCCUUCAUGGGACCCCCGCCCCACUCCCAGGGUAGUCUCAGUGAAAGGGAGUCAGGAGCCCUACGUUGGAAUGAAUAAUGGUUCUCUGGGACAAGGUAUGACAAGUCAUGCCUCUUUGGGCCUCAGUUUCCCCUGACUCCCUUCCCACCGGAGGUGAUCCUAGGGAGCCAUCAAUCCCAAGUCUCUUCUCUUCCUUAGGCCUCAGUUUCUUGACCUGUAAAAUGACUAGAAGUCCUCUAAAGUCCCUUCCAGCUCUAAAUUUGCGAUUUUAUGACCCCUCCCCCAAGCUGGAUGAUGAGGGGCUCAGGCCUUCCUACCUUCCCUGUCACUCAGAGCACCUUAUUUAUUACAAGUUAGAUUCCCCAAAGGCUCGCCAGGGAAUAGGCUAAAUGAAUUCACACUAAGAUGCUAAUGGCUUAAUAGCUGAAUACCCAAGAGUGCUGAGGUUUCAACAAGGAAAUCCCGAGACUUGAGGCCUUAACCCAAAGGCAUGGAUUUUGGAUGGCAGAAGUUUCCCCAGUGUGGCGGGCCAGGGGAGGGGUGGCUUCUUUGAGCUCAGGUCCGACUGCUCAGCAGCUCAUCCAGGGCACUUUCUCAGCCAAAUGAGGGGGCUGGCCAGGAUGAUCCCUGAGGCUCCUUGCAGGCCUGACAUCUUGGGGAUCCUCUCCAGACCUCUCUGCACCUCUGCUUGGUGGGGCUCUGGCAGAUGCAGGGCUGAGCCCUCGAGCCCCUGAGAAUCCGUCAGUCAGAGGCCUACCUGGCAAUUCUGGUGCCUGUGGCAGCCCUCAAGGAUGCCUCCCGAGAGGCAGAUGGAGCAGAGGAGGAAGGCACCAUUUGGUAGCUUCCAAUUUUAACUAAUUAGUCUUGCUAAUUAGGUGCUAAACUCAUUUCUUUGGAUAGCUGCAGUGCUCCUGCUGCCAGUGUGCCCUUUAAAUCUGGCUGCCCUAAGACCAAGCUCUGACUGUCUCAUCCUAGUUACCCAGUUGUAGCCCAGCUUCUGGUUUCCAUGGCAACCUUUCAGCCAGUCUAGAACACUUACUUUGUCACUAACUGUACUGAUGUGAAACCAUCAGGACUGUGAAUCACAGGGUAGUGCAGAGUGCUUUGCCAGCCUUUGAAAUUACCUCCCCUCGGUGGUGAGUGAGUCACAGACUAAUUAGAUAGACUCAUCAGCUUCCCUUCAGCUGGGGCCGAGGCCAGACCAAGUAGACCUGCUGUCCAUGUGGGGAGAUUGGGGGGGGGGUCUCCAUGUCCCUGUGUAGCUCCAUCGACGAUGCUCAGGGCUUGAGAAGCUUGAAAUGAUUGUGUGGGUGCCAAGUCUGAGGCAGCUCUCCAGGCCAUGCUGACUUACUCUUGAGGUGCUCUGACCCCUGUGCCCCCAGGUAGCCCUCCACCCCCAAUGGCCACAUGCCUGACCCUGUUGUCCAGUCAAGGGAUGUCUUCUACCCCAAGCAUGUGAAGCCUUCCCUGCCAGAACGGUUGGGUGAGAUGGGAACAGUUCGUUCCAACAGCCGUGAAGGCGACUGAAGUAGAUGCUCGGAGCUUGGUCUGACGUGGAGGACGCCAAGGCCAUCCACUGCAUCCUGGGCCAUCGCCAGUUCUCCUCACUUCUGUCUGGCCACUGGACCUGGAUGACUCUGUACCACUCUUCCUCACUGACAUCCAAGCUGAGAGAUCACACCCAGAUGUCUCCAAAAAGAAGGGACACAAACACCACCACCACCACCAUCCCUGUGACACAGAUGAGGACACUGAGGCAGCUUAUCAGGGACCAAGGCAGGGCCCCAGCCGCCCAGGCCAGGAAAACCUGGAUCUUCUGUCCCACCUCAGAAUGUGCCUUGUAAAAGGAUGAGGGCUGGACCAGAUGACCUCCAAGCUGACUUUCAGGUCGAAAUGUAGGCUCUCUGAUCUCUGACCACCAAUUGAGAAAUACUCAUCUGAGCUAUAGUAGUAGGAGGCAGGGUGUUUGGUCAGAGGCCUAGAGAGACACGCAGAACAGGAAAGUUCUUAACCUGGGGUCCAUGGACCCGGCCUAGCCCGAAGGGGGCCACGUUUGAUUUCAGGUGGUCCAUGACCCUGAAGGGGAUAAAAAUGAUACCAUUGUUCCUACAAACCUUCAUUUCCUACUGCAAUCCUAUACAUUUUUAGUAUAUGGAUUUAAAAAGCUUAUUCUGAGAAGGGGGCCCAGAGGCAUCCCUUCCACCCUGAGCCUUCCCACUCAAGGAGUGGGCCCUUAGCACUAGAAAAGGGAAGAAGCCUCAAGAGGAGAUGGGAGAGCUAAAGCUGGCCGAGUGAUGCUUAGCAAAAUUGCAGAGAGAACUCUUGGGCAAGUGGGGGGUCCCAGUCAUUCUGGGAGGCCUUGAACCAGACUCCCAAGAUCCUAGCUGUCUCUAGCCCUUUAGCAAGGUGAGGGACUGUUCACACAAGUACCUGUUGGGAGCCCAGCAGGUUGGGACUGUUGCUAAUGUGAGGGGAGGCCAGUGUAAAUGUGACCCAGAAGGGUGCAACCUGCAAGGAAGAGCUCACCUAACCAAGCUCUCAGAAAGGUCUGGAAAUGACCACGUCAAUGGUAAUUCACAAACGGACCAUAGGCUGCCCAAUUCUCUACACAAACAAGAAAGCAGGUGAGAUUGGACCCUUGCAUCGGAAGCAGGGGAGCUCUAGCAUGUUUAUUAUGGUGAAGAGAGGCCCCAACAGCAGUGUUCCUGAAGCCACAGGACGGAGAUGAUCAUUGCUAAGAGCUCAGAGGCUUCUUGUGGCCAGGGUGCACUCUCGUGGAAGGUUUUCAGUGCUGUGUGGCACAGGCCGAGAAUGGAGGUGGGGCUUCCAAGAGCUGGGCUUUAGAAGGCCGGAGCCUGGAAAGGAGGAAUGAGGCCAGGCAUGUUCCAACAUCAGGAGGAACGUGGCCAGAGAGAUCCAGGACAUUUGCCACUUUGUGUCAGGCACUGUGCUAGCAGCCUUUGGCCUUCAGGGAUUUAGUCUCUUGAGGACCUCACACAAAUUUCAAGAAAUACCAACUCCUAAAACCUGGGGGAGGGGGGUCAACAAAGAGUCCUAGUGGCAGGGGAUGCUUGGGCUGAACUCAAGGGGGGCAGGGGUUCUUGGAGGAAAGGCUGGGGGGCAUUCCAGGAAUAGGAGUCCAGCCUGCGCUAAGGCAGCAAUGGGGGCGAUGGCUAGUCGGGUAUGGGGAGCACUGGGAAGGCCAUUUGGGCUGGAUGGGAGAGUGCUUGGAAACAAGGAUUGUGGAGGACUUUACACACCAAGGGGCUGGAAUUCCCAAGGCUAGGGCAUACCCACAAGAGCUCAGCACUUCCUUUCUAGGAUGAACCACCUUCCCUCCUCUUCUAGCUAUCAGGUUGAGCUGUGCAGCUUCUUCACUUCCAUCGCUCAGCAUUUCUGGGCCAUAUCAUCAGUCAUGCCCCUGGCACCGGGUACUGCCCCUCUCCUUUAUGGGUUCUCUUCCCCCAGGAGAUGCUUGAAGGCCAGGAUCAGCAUCUGUACCUUUCUCGGCACCCACAGCAGUGCUCGGCACAUGUUAAGCACAUGCUAAGCACUUAUUGCAUGCUUUAGCAAUGUGUCAUCGUGGUGGGAGCACAGUGGGACUGGAGAUUUGGUCAGCGGAGCCCUCGUAGCUAUGUUGUAGGAGGCCAGAGUACUUCCUCCCAGCUCCCAGGACAGGCAGCUGCCACAGUCUGGUGUUUUGCUGACCGAGAUACGGUGAAGGAGAAGAUGGAGUUGUGGUGAGUGGGUCUCUACUGGGGUUUUGGGCCUUCCUGGCAUGUAGAGUUAGCUCUUUGGUGGGGUAGGUGUCCCUAUCCAAUCCAGGCCUUGGAAGGAUAAUGUCAGCAGCCAAUGAACCUUUGAAGAAAUGGUACCCGACUUCUGCUCUGAUACUCUGCACCCCAAGCUGCCUCCUUUCCUGUGGGCCUCAAUUCCCCUUGCCUUGUCCCCCACCACAUAAAAGGGUCUGACUAGAUGGCCUCGUCCUGUUCUGACUCUAAGGAUUCCUGAUCUUUUCCAUGAGCCUCGUGUCCUCGAGCUCUUCAAGGCUCUAUUGGCUUCCCCAGGGCGGUGCCAGCACCCAGGUUUAGCAUCUCAGGGCUGUAGCCUUUGUUCUCAAACAUUUCCUACCCUCUUCAAAAGGAUCCUGCCCACCCCUACCCCCACUCACAGCCGCUGAGGGCCCUGCUUUCUUGUAGAUCAUCGCUUCUAGCAUGGUGGUGGGAGUGCACAUGACUGAGUCUGCCUUCCUAAAGCAGGGACAGGCUACAAACAAGCUCCACUCCAAAGGGGCACCCCCCAAUCAGAGGUUCAUUAGAAUAGCAAGCAUUGCCGUUUUUCCAGGCUGUGAGGCAUACUUGUGCACACAUGGAGCAAGAAGGGGGGCACUGCAACACUUUACAAAUGAGGGCUUGUUCAGGGGAGCUGUAGAAAAAUGGAGAAUUGAAGAGGAAAAUGGGCUUCGAGGGAGAGGGAGUGCUAACUGCUGGCCCCUCAGGUGCCCACUCCACUGGCAUCCUUCUGAUGUCCAGAGAACAUGAGGAAGGCCUCUCGGGGCAAACUAGGGGAGGACAUGGCCGUGGCCAGGCUGAGCAGGCCCCAGCGGGCCUUAAUCUGUAUCCCUGGAGGGAGCAUCCAGACCGAGGAGGUCACAGAUGACUUGGAGCAUUUCUGGAUUGAGGAGGCAGUCCAAGUGUUAUGGCUCCAGGCUACACAGCUAGGAAGCGUCAAAGCCAGGGUUCAGGAGGCCACAGGCAUGAGGGAGACAUAAGGUGUGUGUAAAGUGCACAGCAGACUUUAUUCUCAUUCUCCCCCCUGAGCACGUUUGCAGAUAAGCUCGAGGGCAUGUUUAAGGCCAGAAGUUUGUGGGGAAGGAAGCGUGGAGGGGGCCAUCUUUGUCUAGAGCCAAUCCAAGCCUCAGAGGGAGAUUUGCAUGGGAAAAUGUCAGAGGUAGUGAGUCUAAUGUGACUGUCUGGCCAUUCAGGCUUUCCCUAGUGGGGGUGGGGGCCAGAGCCAUCCCUAAAACAGUGUGAGUUUCCCCAGCCAUUCCCAGUACCCAUGCCACCCAUCCUGAAGGGGCCACGAAGUUCUACACAGCUCUGGGAAUGGGGGCCAUGGAGGGAAGGUCGGGCUUUGGCUUGCCAAGAAGGGACAACUGAUGGGCAGCUGAGGCGUGUGAACCUCAGAUCUUCUUUUGGGGUACCCUCCCCCCAAAUCCCACCCUCUUCCAUCACUGCCUAUCGUGGGUUGGUAUGUGCCAGGCCCCCUGCCCUCUCCCAGACAGAACUCUCUGGAGGUGUCCAGAGUCAACAGUUUGCGCAAGGCAGCAAAUUCCUCCCCAGGCUCCUGGGCUCUGUCCUACCAGGGAGCCAUUUUGUUGCUUGGGGCAAGUCACAUGGAGCAGGACUUCAAAUCAAGCUUUUGAGACAAAUUCAUUUGUUGGAGGGAGAGAUAGUUGGGCACAAAGUGGGGGGCAUCACACCAAAAUGGGGAAACAGAUGCCUGCGCUGAGGUAUUGAGCCUUCCUGAAGCUGCUUCUGAGGAGGUCAGAACAGGGCUUGUUGAGGUGGGGUCAGAGAAUUAGCUUGGGUGCCAACAAUUAGUGAGGGGAGGCAGUGACUAAUUAUUCUCAUUAAUUAGGUGCUGAGUUCAAUUGUUUCUGUGCUACCAAAGGAGAGUAAGGGCUGUCGUCACCCUCUCAAUUUGGGUGUCCUGGGACAAAGGCCUGCUUGCCACAGCCUAGUUAUGGCUUGGUACC